rnacentral:rRNA from 1 species
GACGAACGCUGGCGGCGUGCCUAAUACAUGCAAGUAGAACGCUGAAGAGAGGAUCUUGCUCUUCUUUGAUGAGUUGCGAACGGGUGAGUAACGCGUAGGUAACCUGCCUUGUAGCGGGGGAUAACUAUUGGAAACGAUAGCUAAUACCGCAUAACAAUGGAUGACACAUGUCAUUUAUUUGAAAGGGGCAAUUUCUCCACUACAAGAUGGACCUGCGUUGUAUUAGCUAGUAGGUUUGGUAGCGGCUCACCUAGGCGACGAUACAUAGCCGACCUGCGAGGGUGAUCGGCCGCACUGGCACUGAGACACGGCCCAGCCUCCCACGGGAGGCAGCAGUAGGGAAUCUUCGGCAAUGGGGGCAACCCUGACCGAGCAACGCCGCGUGAGUGAAGAAGGUUUUCGGAUCGUAAAGCUCUGUUGUAAGUCAAGAACGAGUGUGAGAGUGGAAAGUUUACACUGUGACGGUAGCUUACCAGAAAGGGACGGCUAACUACGUG